ensembl:lncRNA
CGCCCUCCAGUCGGAAUAAUUGGCCAAUUAAACGUCUACAUUGUCGUGCUGAAGGUGCAUGACCAGGCUUUUGAAAGAGUAGGUGGUAGUGACUGGGGCGGCAACAUGAAUCGUGUUAAACGGCCAUAAAGUGAGAAUGGCUCCGCGAGGGGAGACGCACACAGGGCAGUGAUCGAGCACCCGGGGUUAAAGGUCACACAUGCUGAAGAACAAAGGGCUGGUAAAGCAAAUGGCCCGCGCAGGACAGUCAAACAUAGGCUUGUGCGCUUCAUAAAACCGUUAGUCUUAAAGAGGCUGAGGGAAAGGGAAGUCUGAGAGAGAACAUGCCCAUCCUGCUUUGGCUGAAAACCUUAAAAGAGGAAACUGAAGUCCUCCCUCUUCAGAGAAAGCCUCAUCAUCCAAAGAGCUGCCCCUGGAGCCAUGCAUGCUCAGACAGACCAAAGCCAACCCUGAGCAGCAUAUCCCUCACACUCCAGCCCUAAGGCCCCUCACACUCCAGCCCUAAGGCCACGACGACCUUUAGAGCUCCGCCGUUACAAUGUGUGGUUCAGAGACUUGUGGGGGGAAGAGCUUCUGAAGGUGGAUGACACUGCAUUUUAGAGCCGUCUGAUACUUCUUUUCAAGGAAUCUGGCGGCCUGAAAUCCGGUGAACCGAAAACACUGGUGCGUAUUUUAAUUCACAUGAGAUCCUUUAGGUCGAUUACACUGUACCUUAGGGGGAAAAAAGAAAAAAAAACUCAAGCUGUUUCUAAGACUCUGUCUGUUCCCAAUGCAGUCAGACUCAUUGGUACAUGUUUUCAUGCGAACGCCGGAUUCCUGAGCAGAUUAGUUUGCAGUAACGGGGAUCAGCGGCCGGCAAUCCUCGUGGUGAGGACGCUUAAACCCAAACGAGGCAUCGCCACGGCGCAAACGUAAGGGCACAGCUUUGCGUAACUGAGGAGGGGGAGACAACGCAAGCCCAGGUCAGGCUGACACAGACCUGUCUCCCUACACAGACCUGUCUCCCCACACAGACCUGUCUCACACAACACAGGUCUGUCUCCCCUCCCGGUGCCAGGGCGUACACGCAGAGCUAUGUCAGCGGCAGUGACCCGAACGGAGGUUAUUUACAUGUUGGGAAUUACAUUGCAUAACAGCAACAAUGCGCUUUGUUUUUCCUGGUCUGUAGCCUACAUGAUCUGGUGCAAGCAGGGAUUUAGACCUACCAGUUACAAAUCCGUAAAUUACAUAGAAUUUUUCCACUGCCUGUGUCUGUGAAUCUGUCUGUGUGUGUGUGUGAAUCUGUGUGUGUGUCUGUGAAUCUGUGUGUGCGUGUGUGUCUGUGAAUCUGUGUGUGUUUGUGUGUGUAUGUGUGUCUGUGAAUCUGUGUGUGUGUCUGUGAAUCUGUGUGUGCGUGUGUGUCUGUGAAUCUGUGUGUGUUUGUGUGUGUAUGUGUGUCUGUGAAUCUGUGUGUAUGUCUGUGAAUCUGUGUGUGUGUGUGUGUGUGUGUGUGUCUGUCUGUGAAUCUGUGUGUGUUUGUGUGUGAGUGUGUCGGUGGAUGAAACACAGAAUAUACACAAGGAAGAAUAAUGAACUGCCAGGAGUGUAUGCAUAUAUUUAGGUGUGUUUGGGCGGCCUGUGCCGGAUCAAAGUCGGAUCUGCGUCAGGUCCAUCUCAGAGUGGGCUGUUUUUCCGCAGGAUGGGAGGCUUGGAGGCUUCCAGUGUGUCUAUCAGCGGGUCAAAUCGAUGAGGGACACACACACACACACACACACACACACACACACACACAUACACACACACACACAUACACACACACACACACCCAUUUCACACACACACGCACAUACACACACUAACACACACACACACACACACACACACACAUACACACAUACACUCACACACACAAAUUUCGCACUUUCAUCCCCAGCUAUUCAGUACAUACUGUGUUCAGUGAGUUUCCAUGCAUAGUGCUGUGUAAUGAUUGCUUCAGCAUAUUUAAUUAACCAUCUGUUUACUGGGCAGCGUAAUGAUGAGCUAAUGCUGUAUGUUAAAAUAUGAUCUUAUGCAAUAAACUGUCCUAUUUAUUUUAAUUAUUAGUUUCCUUCACUGGGACCCUCCCCUGAGUAGGCUGAGGCAUGUGCAGUCAAGAGCUGGGGUGAAGUGUGUGUGACCAAAUGAACAGGUUUAAAUGGAGCGCAGGAUGCCUUGUGUGUGUGUGUGUGUGUGUGUGUGUGUGUCUGUGUGUGUUUGUGUGUGUGACCAAAUUAGCAGUUUUAAAUGGAGCGCAGGAUGCCGUGUGUGUGUGUGGGGGGGGGGGGGGUGUGAGUGUGUGUGUGUGUCUGUGUGUGUAUGUAUGUGUGUGACCAAAUUAACUGGUUUAAAUGGAGUGCAGGAUGCCGUGUGUGUGUGUGUGUGUGUGUGUGUGUGUGUGUGUGAGUGUGUCGGUGGAUGAAACACAGAAUAUACACAAGGAAGAAGUGGCGAUUUUAGCCUGAGAUUUCUGGUGGG